GCCAUUAUGUCUUAUGUCCGCGAAAGAUUAAUUCGAACGCGGAUCUCAAAGCAUCUUGCGAGUCGCCAAUUCUCCACUGUUGCUCUUCAUCGCUCUUCCUCGCUCUUCUUUAGCUUUGCCACCUUUUUUCCCCUUCCUCCCGCCCCCUCUUCGUCCAAUUUUUCCUCUCAACGAUUUUUCGACAACCGUUUUCGAGCCAACGUCUCCUUGAUUUUUGUUUACGCCCUCUUCGCUCAAAUUAAUUUGUCGUAUGAAAAACUGUUACAGCGAACUGUUGCAGAAACCGAUCAUCGACCGAUCGAUCGACAGAUUUUAACGAUUGCCGAUAUCGAGUAGCGAAUUUUCAAUCGUCGUAAAGUAAAAAGGCAAAGAAAAAAACGCAAAGCAAGAGGAACAGACACGAUCGAGAAAAGAAAAAGACAAGAAGAGGAAAGAGGAGAAAGAUUUUGUCUGCGAUAAAAAUCCCGAUAUUACAUUAUAUGCUGCGACAUAUCCGACGCGAGAUCGGGAAAUGUAACGAGCAUGAGAUCGAUGUGCUCGCGCAUAAUCUCACGAGUGCCGUGUGUCAAAAACAAUGACAGCAAAACGAAGAGGGAUGCAGAUUAGCCAAUCACGAUUUCCAAGUUGCCACGAGCCUUAAGAGGGAAAUAACAACCAACUGUGAUUCAAAUAUGGUACAAGCAAGAUUUUAAGCGAUCGCGUAUUCACGCGCGCUUCCGAUCGUCAACAUUCGGCCGUUUUCGGGCGAUCCCGCUCACCGAUGAAAACUGCAGCACGCCUGCGCAGAAGUCGAUGUAAGAACCGCGCGAAGUCGAAAAAUGAACGCGAUAUUCAAAUCGCAAACGUUUUAGACUAUCCUACAAAUCACAUUGAGAUUCAAACUGUCGUUUGUUAGCUGCACGAUGUUAUGAUAUUAUUUUAUUACGAUACCGUCUUUAAAAUUAAAAGCACGACAAGCCGUAAAUAUGAUCAACAAAAAUUGGCGUCCAUCAAUCGUCGCGUCAAUUCGAACAAUCGUGAAUUCGUUCGUUAGGGACGUGUAGUAAUUUUUGUUUUAUAUUUGCGCCUUGAUAUUCUUUUUGAAUUCCCAAUUUUAAGGGAAGUUCAGUAUCUUGGCUUCAAGACCUUAACUUUUUAAUAAUAGACGAUUAGUGUUUCAUUACUUAUUAUAAAUAAUAUUAUACCAUGGUGAUCUUUACGCUAAUAAGAUUUUUCAUUUGUAUUUAAAUACCAAUAUUUCA